rnacentral:rRNA from 1 species
UACGUAGGGUGCGAGCGUUGUCCGGAAUUAUUGGGCGUAAAGAGCUCGUAGGCGGUGUGUCACGUCGAUCGUGAAAACUUGGGGCUUAACUCUGAGCUUGCGGUCGAUACGGGCAUCACUGGAGUUCGGCAGGGGAGACUGGAAUUCCUGGUGUAGCGGUGAAAUGCGCAGAUAUCAGGAGGAACACCGGUGGCGAAGGCGGGUCUCUGGACAGUUCCUGACGCUGAGGCACGAAGGUCAGGGGAGCAAACGGG